CUCUGCCCCAAUUCCAUUCGAACUUUCUUUUCAUUUCCGUUCACCUACCACGCUCGCAUUUCAAAAUUUCCCAAAUUCACUUCUCAGAAUCGCGAGCUCUAAUUCAAGUUGACGAAUCCUUCGAAACCAAAAUGGAUGGACGAGAUGCAGAUAAUUCUAAACAAAGUACUGAUGAUAUGACUACAUUUGUACAAAACCUACUCCAGCAAAUGCAAACUCGGUUCCAGACAAUGUCGGAGUCCAUCAUAAGUAAAAUUGAUGAGAUGGGCAACCGUAUCGAUGAGUUGGAGCAGAGCAUCAACGACCUUAGAACUGAGAUGGGUCAAGAUGGCGCGGCAUCUCCUUCGCCUACAUCAAAGGCCCGCGAAGAAACAAAGACAGGAUUGCUGGAGACCUUUUUCUCGAAGAACAGCGAUGGUGCCUCAGUGCAAUUUCUCAAUCAUUUAUCCAAGAUAUAUGGUUCACCCGAAUGUGAGAGAACGGGGAAGGAAUUGAAUUUCAAUUGGGAGGAAGAUAGGUUUUUGGAUGUGGGCGUUGAACUGAACUGCAACAAACGAAACGAAGGCACAUCCCAACACCACACCCACAUGGCGGAGAGUCUCUCGCGCUGCCACCCAACCAAACUCGAAUACUUCCACGACAUGUUCAAGCUGCAGGCUUCAGCUGCGGUCCUCUCUUCCUUCGCGAAUGAUCAAGGUACGCAAACGCUCGUGCUCGAUUCCACUAUUUUUCAUCCCCAGGGCGGCGGUCAACCAUCGGACAAGGGUUUCAUCUCAAAUCCACUGUUCACCUUUGUUGUUGAGGAUGUCCGAUCCAAGGAUCAAAUUGUGUAUCACUAUGGCCAUUUCGAGAACACUGAAGAUGUGAGUGCUGUCGUAGGAGCUGAAGUUUUGCUGAGAGUGGAUGAAGAUAGACGUAGGCUAAAUUCAAGGCUGCAUUCUGCAGGGCAUUUGUUGGAUAUCUGUGUGAGAACGGUGGGGUGGGAUCACUUGGAGCCGACUAAAGGUUAUCACUUUCCCGAUGGACCAUUUGUGGAAUACAAAGGUACUGUUCCACCGAAUGAACUGCAAGAGAAGCAAAAGGAGAUUGAAUUAGAAGCAAACCGUUUGAUCUCGGAAGGAGGAAAUGUCUCUGUGUCCAUUUUACCGUACAAUCAAGCUUCGGAACUCUGCGGUGGAUCCCUCCCAGAUUACAUACCCAAGGAGAGCUCUCCUAGGAUCGUUCAAUUGGGCAAGAACCCAGGAUGCCCUUGUGGUGGCACUCAUGUCGGCGAUCUCAGUGAAAUUUCGAGUCUGAAGGUUUCUCAAAUUCGGGCGAAGAAAGGACAUACAAAAGUAUUUUACAAUUGCGCAUAGUUUCUUCAUGCAUUAUCGGAUGUAGGCCUUGUCUAAAUGGCGUCGGGGAAUGUUGGUCUCUAAGGGCAACAUUUAAGAGGAUGAAGGUCGAUGUCGUGCCCUCACGUCAGCGGCUUGGCGGCGCUGCUGAAACAGGCCCACCCUGAGUGGUCACCGGCGGCCGAUCAAGUCAGCAUUGAUGACCACGGCGUACAACGUCGAUAACAACGGGAAUAAUUUAACGGACCUCGUCACCAGGGACGUGUCCAAUCCGUUCUUGGGCCACGUCGAUCCAAACCGAGCAACGAAUCCCGGCCUGAUCUACGACAUCGAUACCCGUCGUUCUUGGUUGCCUUCUCCGGCUUUAAAAGCGUUGUAAAGUAUAAACGAAGCGUAAGAAAUGUCAGGAAGGAGGCGAAUGCCGUGUAUGAGGUGACAGUGCACGCAACGGACAGCGUGGAAGUCACCGUGACACCGAGUAAAUUAGAGUUCGGCGAGAAGGAAGACACUCUAUCUGGGUCUACACAUAUAAGAAUAAA